rnacentral:rRNA from 1 species
CCCUUAGAUGUUCUGGGCCGCACGCGCGCUACACUGUUCGACGCAGCGAGUCUUAACCUUGACCGAAAGGUUUGGGUAAUCUUCAGCAAAGUCGAACGUGAUGGGGAUCGAUCAUUGUAAUUAUUGAUCGUGAACGAGGAAUUCCUAGUAAGUGCAAGUCAUCAGCUUGCGCUGAUUACGUCCCUGCCCUUUGUACACACCGCCCGUCGCUACUACCGAUUGAAUGGUUUAGUGAGAUCUCUGGAUUGACGCUGGCUAGGGGGCGACCCUUGGCCAGACUGCUCGAGAAACUGCUCAAACUUGAUCAUUUAGGGGAAGUAAAAGUCGUAACA